rnacentral:rRNA from 1 species
GACGAACGCUGGCGGCGUGCUUAACACAUGCAAGUCGAACGGUGAAGCGCCUUCCUUUUUGGUGGGUGUGGAUGAGUGGCGAACGGGUGAGUAACACGUGAGUAUCCUGCCCCCUUCUUCUGGAUAACCGCAUGAAAGUGUGGCUAAUACGGGAUAUUCUGGGUCUGUCGCAUGAUGGGUCUGGGAAAGAUUUUGUUUCGGUGGGGGAUGGGCUCGCGGCCUAUCAGCUUGUUGGUGGGGUGAUGGCCUACCAAGGCGGUGACGGGUAGCCGGCCUGAGAGGGUGGCCGGUCACACAGUGACAGAGACACGACCCAGACUCGUACGGGAGCCAGCAGUGGGGAAUAGUGCACAAUGGGCGCAAGACUGAUGCAGCGACGCCGCGUGAGGGAUGGAGGCCUUCGGGUUGUGAACCUCUUUCGCCAGUGAAGCAGGCCUGCCUCGUUUGUGGGUGGGUUGACGGUAGCUGGAUAAGAAGCGCCGGCUAACUACGUG